GGUUGUGUGAUGUAGAGGUUAUCAUUCCAGAUUUUGAUUGUGACUCGUCUUCUGGCCACCCCGGUUCGAGUCCGGGCACGACCU